rnacentral:sRNA from 1 species
AUUUGUAUUUUAGAUGGACCAGUCUUACAAACCAGAUGAAAAUGAAGUUCGAACUCUCUUUGGUCUUCAUUUAAGCCAGAAGAGAAAUAAUGGUGUCGUCGACAAGUCAUUAUUUAGCAAUGUUGUUACCAAGAAUAAAGAUUUGCCAGAGUCUGCCCUCCGAGACCUCAUUGUAGCCACCAUUGCUGUCAAGUACACUCAGUCUAACUCUGUGUGCUACGCCAAGAACGGGCAGGUUAUCGGCAUUGGAGCAGGACAGCAGUCUCGUAUACACUGCACUCGCCUUGCAGGAGAUAAGGCAAACUAUUGGUGGCUUAGACACCAUCCACAAGUGCUUUCGAUGAAGUUUAAAACAGGAGUGAAGAGAGCAGAAAUCUCCAAUGCCAUCGAUCAGUACGUGACUGGAACCAUUGGCGAGGAUGAAGAUUUGAUAAAGUGGAAGGCACUGUUUGAGGAAGUCCCUGAGUUACUCACUGAGGCAGAGAAGAAGGAAUGGGUUGAGAAACUGACUGAAGUUUCUAUCAGCUCUGAUGCCUUCUUCCCUUUCCGAGAUAAUGUAGACAGAGCUAAAAGGAGUGGUGUGGCGUACAUUGCGGCUCCCUCCGGUUCGGCUGCUGACAAAGUUGUGAUUGAGGCCUGUGACGAACUGGGAAUCAUCCUCGCUCAUACGAACCUUCGGCUCUUCCACCACUGAUUUUACCACACACUGUUUUUUGGCUUGCUUAUGUGUAGGUGAACAGUCAUGCCUGAAACUUUGAGAAUAACUUUUUAA